UACGAAGGGGGCUAGCGUUGUUCGGAAUUACUGGGCGUAAAGCGCACGUAGGCGGAUUUGUAAGUCAGGGGUGAAAUCCCGGGGCUCAACCUCGGAACUGCCUUUGAUACAGCACGUCUCGAGUCCGGAAGAGGUGGGUGGAAUUCCUAGUGUAGAGGUGAAAUUCGUAGAUAUUAGGAAGAACACCGGUGGCGAAGGCGGCCCACUGGUCCGGUACUGACGCUGAGGUGCGAAAGCGUGGGGAGCAAACAGG
rnacentral:rRNA from 1 species